GGGGACAAAUAUCCCUAAAAGCAGAAACAUACAAAUCAUAGUUAGUGGCGCCGCUUCCUUUUGACUUUUCAAUUUUUAUUUUAAAACCAUUUAACCUUUAUAUAUUUUUUUUGAAAAACUGCUCUCAAACCCCCCUUUUUUAUCUCUUCCUCCUUUCUUCAGUUAAGGUUUCAACACCCAUCAUUGCCGGCGGUUCACCGUGCCGAACGGAGAGGGGAGCGGCCACGGGGUAGAUCCGGGCAUGGGCAUGGACGGUGGGGUGUGUGAUAGUGCUGGUGGCAGACAGCAUGGGAGAGUGGGAGUGGUGCUGGUGGCAGACAGCAUGGGAGAGUGGGAAGAGGCAAGUAGGAGUUUAGGGUUUUGGGAUUGGGCUUGGAUGUUGGGCUAGGUUAAUUUUAGGUUUUGGGUUUGAGGAUAAGUUAAAUAGUUUAAUGGGCCUGGGUAUUUUGUAAACGGGCCAAAAUUGGCCUACAACAUUUACGACCUAAUUUUGGACUCAAAUUUGUGUGGAUUCAAACAAUCUUAAUCAUUACUGUAAGGUGUCCCCAUGACGAUGGAAAUUAUAUAUGUAAGAAGACGCAUGAAGGUUUUGCAUGGA